UAAUACGGAGGGUGCAAGCGUUAUCCGGAUUCACUGGGUUUAAAGGGUGCGUAGGUGGGUUGGUAAGUCAGUGGUGAAAUCUCCGAGCUUAACUUGGAAACUGCCAUUGAUACUAUCAGUCUUGAAUAUUGUGGAGGUCAGCGGAAUAUGUCAUGUAGCGGUGAAAUGCUUAGAUAUGACAUAGAACACCAAUUGCGAAGGCAGCUGGCUACACAUAUAUUGGCACUGAGGCACGAAAGCGUGGGGAUCAAACAGGAUUAGAUACCCUGGUAGUCCACGCCCUAAACUAUGGAUACUCGACAUACGCGAUACACUGUGUGUGUCUGAGCGAAAGCAUUAAGUAUCCCACCUGGGAAGUACGAUCGCAAGAUU
rnacentral:rRNA from 1 species